rnacentral:lncRNA from 1 species
ACCCGGACUCCUACGAGAGCCGGGUUCCAGCGACAAAGAAAACUUCACCCGGGCUCCUACGGGAGCCGGGUUCCAACGACAAAAAAGAUUUCACCCGGACUCCUACAGGAGCUGGGCUCCUUCGCCGACAUCAGCUACAGGACAACCCCACCCGGACUUCUACGGAAGCCGGACUUUGCCUAGGACUUUGAUUGCAGGAAAACGAAAGCUUUGCCCUGGCCCCUACGAGAACCAAGCUACUCCAACUUCAGGAGGACUUCUCCGCUCGGACUCCCAAGGGAGCCGGACUCAGCUCCGACUUCAACAGAGAAAAAACCCAAGCA